CGUUUAGCUUAACAAUUGACCUUACGACAGCGGCUUCUGAGCCACGCCCCCUGAUAUCAAGGGAGCGAACUCUAUGUCCGUCAAACAAACGAGGAAGUAAAGGCGUCUCGCGUCGUUUCGCUUUCCGAUAUUCCUGACAAAUUAUCAUAAAUGUGACAUUACAAUGCGAAAAAAAUAGAAGUCAAAGGAAUUUGUAACUGGCUGCUACAUCGGAAGGCUCGAUAUAUCUUUAGAAAAUGACGAUAUCUAACAUUUACGGGGUGAAAUCUAUCCAAGUCAGAGAAAAUCGGAUAGCCGCCAUGUUGUCAACAUUGAAAUCAAUAAAAAGGAAAAGCGUGUGUGUGACGCAUACUGUAAAUGCAAACAAGGAAAUUGUGGAACAUGUUCACACACUCUGGCUGUAAAAGUAGACCUGGGAGGAAAAGUGCCCCCGGUGUGGGGCUCGAACUCACAACCACCAGAACACUAGCCCGGCGCUCUAACCAACUAAGCUGACCGGGCAGCUGGUUCUAACCCACACACACUACCCUCCCCCCAUUUACCGGUUAAGGCUGGUGGAGGGUCUUCUGCUAUUUACCGUUGACACCAUUAAAGUAUUCUGAUUGAUGGAGUUAAGGAAGUCCCCUUAUUAUUGUCUUCAACAAGACUACCGCCCCCCCCCCCCCCCCCCCCCCCACACACACACACACACACACACACACACAUGAUAUUUGCCAGUCCAGGCAAUGUCAACCGCAAGAGAAAACCAGUGAUGACAAGUUUUACAAAUAAUCGGAAAGUAUGGUCUUUUGAAGAGAGUUCUUGAAGUUGUUCAGCAUGUUGUUUUGAUGGAUUCUUGGAAGGAUGUACCUCUAUGAUGUUAGCUUCAGUUCUGGAGUAUAACACCAGUUGUUGCAUAUUUAAUAAGAUUUAUUAAAUACAUUGUUGUUUUGCAAACAUUACUUAAACUUUGAUAUUUCUUUGGUGUUUAUGUAUGAUAUUGUAGGUGAAUAUCUCUUUAUUGCAAUGGCAAAUAUAUUUUAAAAUAUAUAGCAUUAGCAGAAGUUAUUUUUCACUGUUAAAGCUGCACUUUCACAGAUUGAUCACUUUGACAACUUACACAGGAUUCGAUUGCAUUUAUCAUAUUUUGGCUCGGAGAAGUUUGCUUUGUGAUUUAUAUAUUAGGUCUUAAUUUAAAGAAUGCCAAAAUAAGCCGAUUCUGAGAUAAAAAGUGUCAAACUAGAAUUCUGUGAGAGUGCAACUUUAAGAAUACUGUUAAUCGAGUGUGAGUGUGCAUGUGAUCCGGACUCUGAACAUUGGAUGAACUAUCAUUAAAUAUUGUAGAUUUACGUAAAUGGCCCAAAAUAUAAGAAUAACAAUGAAAAUAUGUACA